CAGCCCUGGGUAAGUCUUUAUUGAAUGGGUGAACAAGUUUUCUCAAACCCAAACCCUUAGAUCUGGUGGUUUCAGGCAUGAUGCAUGGACAGCCUCCCCUACUGGUAGUGUGUGGCAUUGCAGUUCAUUUCUACUGGACCACAGGAAGCAUCACCCAGUGCACUAAAGGAAAACGGUGCCUGUAGGCUGGAGGUCCACCAACUCAAUGUUUUAGGCUAUGUGGGUCAUAUGAUCUCUAUCACAACUGUUCGACUCUGUCACUCUAGCGUGAAGGCAGCUGUUAGCACACAUAAGCAAAUAAGUAUGUUUGUGUUUCCAUGAAACUGUGUUUAUGAACACUGAAAUUUGAAUUUCAUAUCAUGGUACAUGUAACAAAAACAUUUUAUUUUUUUUCCUCACCAUUAAAAAAUAUUAAAGCCACUCUUGGCUUGUAAGCCAUAUAAAACAGAUGGUGGACCAUCUUUGGCCUAUGAGUUGUGGUUUGCUGGACACUGCUAUUGACAAUCUCCAAGUGACCCAAAGUAUGGGAGAAGAAUUCAAUUUCCAGGGCAAAUAGCCACAAGACUAUCCAUUUUUAAGGAAGUAUUAUUCAUAAUGUGAGUUGAUGAAUAUUCAUAGUGAUUUCUGCAUUCCAGGCACUUUUAUAGCCAAUGCAUGGGUGGAAAGUGUCAGGCAGGGGCCAAGUGAAAAGAACUAGUCCUUAAAAUCAGAAUGCCAAAUGCAGUAACCGAUUCAUGCUUCCUCCCUGCGAGAAAGAGACAGCAAUCGUGUGCGGGAUCAGAGGCAUGCCAUCCCAGGUGGGGGACACACAGGAAUCAGACUGAUGGGGUGCUGAAAAGGGAAAGAUUGUGAGUUUAUUCCUUAAUAGGUCAAUUUUUUUGGAGGGGUGGGUGGCUAAUGGGGAUUGAAUUCAGGGGCACUCAACCACUGAGCCACAUCCCCAGCCCUAUUUUGUAUUUUAUUUAGAGACAGUGUCUCACUGAGUUGCUUAGUGCCUCACUUUUGCUGAGGCUGGUGUGGAACUCAUGAUCUUCCUGCCUCAGCCUCCUGAGCUGAUAGGAUUACAGGCAUGUGCCACAGUGCCCAGCUGCCAAUUAGCUUUGCUGGAUCUCAUGGUUGAAGUCUGUGCCCUUGGACAGAGAGUUAUUGUAUGAGUCAGGGUUCUCCAGAAACAAACAAACAAACAAAAAACCCAAAAGGAUAUGUAUUAAUUAUAAGGAAAUGGCUCACAUGGUUGUGGAGGCUAAGCUAAGUCCCAUGAUCUGCUGUCAAUAAGCUGGAGAUCCAGGAAAGCUGGUGACAAAAAUUCCAAAUCCAAGUCCAAAGGUCUGGGAACCAGAAGAGCUGAUACUGUAAUUCUAUCCAAGGAUAGAAGAUGAAUGUCCCAGAUCAAGCAGUCAGGCAGAGAGAGUAACUCAACCUUUUUCUACUUCUGUUCUAUUCAGGCCGUCAAUGGAUUGGAUGAUGCCCAGCUACACUGGAAAGAACAUGCUGCUUUACUGAGACCAAUUCAAAUGCUAAUUUCUUCCACAUAUACCCUCACAUACAGAGAUACUGUUUAACAAGCUAUCUGGGCAUCCCAUAGCCCAGUCAAGUUGACACCUAAAAUUAACCCUUGCAGGUACAAGUAAAAACCUAGUGCCUUUCUGACCACAGGGGAGGCAAGCCAAUUUAGGAAUCCAAAUCAGAUAGUGUUCAUGUCUCUGGAUAUGAUGCUUAUUUGUAUCAACUUGCAUAUUUAGUGUGUGUGUGUGUGUUUUGAGAACAUUUAAGAUCUACUCUCUUGGCAAAGGUAAUUUUGAUUUUAUAAAAAUGCAAAAAUGGCUCAAAAUCAUUUGGGGAAAAAAGAAAAAAAAAGAUAAGUACAAGCUCCCCUACAUCUUUGCCGCCUCCCUUUGCUCUUUAUAUCGACUUCUUGUUCUUAGUGCUGCUUUAAUUUUAGCCCCCUUUUAAAAGAAAAUUAUUAUUUUGCACAUUGAUCAGAUCCUUGGGAGUGAAAGAAAAAAAGAGCCCCAAACUCACAUGUAACCUCUUCCCCUCCAUUCUCAGGAGAAAAAGACCUCAAAGCAGAAAAACAAAUAAUAAUAAAGUUAACAAAAGAAAGAUAAUCAAAAUAAUCCAUGUCCUCACCAUCAAGUAUCAUUGUUAAAAAGUUUUUCCUCCCACAUUUUAAAAAUCAAAGAGUGUCUUACUAUAUACCACCUCUGAUAUUUGAUUAUUCCGUUUGUUAAUAUCUCUCUGACACAUCUUCCUAUGCUAACAAAUACAAAUCCGCAUAGUAGCUUUUAAUGUUGCUGUAUGUCACACACACACACACACACACACACACACCCCUUUGUAUUAAAACCAUUUCCUCCUUGGUGUACACUGAGGUCAUU
rnacentral:lncRNA from 1 species